rnacentral:rRNA from 1 species
AUUGAACGCUGGCGGCAUGCCUUACACAUGCAAGUCGAACGGCAGCACGGGAGCAAUCCUGGUGGCGAGUGGCGAACGGGUGAGUAAAGUAUCGGAACGUGCCCAGUCGUGGGGGAUAACGUAGCGAAAGUUACGCUAAUACCGCAUACGAUCUAUGGAUGAAAGCGGGGGAUCGCAAGACCUCGCGCGAUUGGAGCGGCCGAUAUCAGAUUAGGUAGUUGGUGGGGUAAAGGCUCACCAAGCCGACGAUCUGUAGCUGGUCUGAGGGGACGACCAGCCACACUGGGACUGAGACACGGCCCAGACUCCUACGGGAGGCAGCAGUGGGGAAUUUUGGACAAUGGGCGCAAGCCUGAUCCAGCCAUGCCGCGUGCAGGGUGAAGGCCUUCGGGUUGUAAACUGCUUUUGUACGGAACGAAAAGGUUUGACUUAAUACGUUGGACUCAUGACGGUACCGUAAGAAUAAGCACCGGCUAACUACGUGCCAGCAGCCGCCGUAA